rnacentral:rRNA from 1 species
UAGGGAAUUUUCCGCAAUGGGCGAAAGCCUGACGGAGCAACGCCGCGUGAGGGAAGAAGGUCUUCGGAUCGUAAACCUUUGUCAUCGGGGACGAUCAUGACGGUACCCGAGGAGGAAGCCCCGGCUAACUACGUGCCAGCAGCCGCGGUAAUACGUAGGGGGCGAGCGUUGUCCGGAAUUACUGGGCGUAAAGGGCGCGUAGGCGGCCCAAUAAGUCAGAUGUGAAAAACCUGGGCUUAACCGAGGUCUUGCAUUUGAAACUGUUGGGCUUGAGGACAGGAGAGGAAAGCGGAAUUCCCAGUGUAGCGGUGAAAUGCGUAGAUAUUGGGAGGAACACCAGUGGCGAAGGCGGCUUUCUGGACUGACCCUGACGCUGAGGCGCGAAAGCCAGGGGAGCGAACGGG